GCGGGGUCGGGGUCGGGGUCGUGGUCUCCAAGGACUGAUGGUAGAUGGCAGAUGAAGAUAUCCAAGGUGUCUGAGGGGGUUUUCGAGCGAGACACGCGCCUAUCAAAUAAACUUUACCUAAGCAACAGUUCCGGCAACACCUCUGCCUACCCCCUUCGCUCGAGCAUUACCCAGAGAUUGCUCCCCACCCAGGGGGCUUCCGGGUUGAGUUGCUCCUGCGCUUGUCACGAAUUUGUAAGGACGAGGAGACACCCCCGCUGGCAACUUGAUUUCUUGUUCGUAUUUUUCGCAUUUUCCAAUUCCGAUACAGCAUUUUUGGCAAACGAAAACAAAAGACUUGCACGCGGGGCGGCUAAUGGAUGGCGGGGGAGUAGGGCGGUAAUCUAUGAAUAAUAGAAAGCGAUUCUGCAAAAUCAGCGAAAACAUUUAAUGGCAUUAAACUCGAGCGAAAAACGUCAGAUCGAAUUUGUCUGAGGACGAGCAGCGCAGAGCGAACAAGUGGAAAAUUGCAUUUCGGAUUUUGCUCCGUUUGCUGCCAAGUACAGGCAGGCCCCCCAAGGACAGGCAAUCCUUCCACCAGACCCAACACCCGAACCGCAGAUGUUUGUCAGAGAUGUAUUGAUGCUGCCGCAAUUACUUGGAUCAUCCGCAAGGAUUCCAUUAAUGGGUGGAUGGAUGCAGCGUCUUGCAAACUGUUUUCCAGGGAAUACAAUUGAGUGAGGAAUCCCCACUGCAACUACUAAUGAGCAGCCCAAUUGGGCACAUUUGACAGACUCCCCCCGAUGUACGCGAGAUAUUUUGUCUGCAAGAAGUCCUUUAAUUGACUGCCGGGAAGCCUCAGCCCUGGGACAGCGUACAUAUGUGGAAUGUAAUGGAG
rnacentral:lncRNA from 1 species